rnacentral:lncRNA from 1 species
AACGGGCCUCUGUGUCCGAGGCCCAUUAGUACUCCUAAACUUGGUCUAAUUCAGAUCACAUCCAAAUUGGACUUCCAGCCCUUUAAGUGUGUGACCCUAUAGGUUCAUAUACGUAUAGACAUGGCCUGAGUACUCCUACUCGGCCAAUAGUUAGUAGCGGCCUCUAGCAAGACAUACUAACUCCUAUACGCACAUGAAGAUCAUAUCAGAUGAACCACCACAACAUCACAUACAUGCU